UUAAUUGCUGUCACAGCUAAACUCCAAGGGGCCAGAACCAACCAGCUCAAGCCAACCGACUGUUGAUUUUACGGAGCCAGCCCCAGCGCUGUGCCCGGUUGCACAAUAGUGGGGUACCUGCCAAGGCAGUGAUGGCAGAGCAGGUGAUGCUGCGAUCCAGUGUCCUGAAGGACUUGGAGUGGUAGGGGCUGCCGGGGGGUGGGCCCCCUGCACCAUCUAGAAGAGUGCGUUCCUGCCCCCCCAGCUAGGCUUGGAGGCGAUCUGGUGGAGCAGAAAGAGGCUCAGGGCAUUGCCUUGUGUUCCUUCUAGCUGUGUGAGCAGGGGCAGACCCCAGCACCUGUGUCAGUUUCCUUCCCUGCAAAAUGAAGUCCUUCCUAGCCUUCAGGGACACUGCUGAGGACUAUAGCCUGGGAGACAGCCUCUCAGAUGGCUCUGAGGAACUGCUCCAAAGAGGGCCAGUAUCCUGUUUUUCUCCACCCUGAAUUCCCCUCGGGGUGCAUGGUCACUGGCAGUGGCAGAUGGUUUGAUGGUAGACAACAUUCGUUGCUUACCGGAAUGGCAGCAGGAUUCCCCUUCUGUCUUUUAGACCUGAGUUCAAGUUCUGGCUUGUCCACAUACCAUUGGAGUUUUCCUCUUCUGUAAGAUGAAUAUCACAAAACCUGCUUGGCUGAGUCCUUGGGAAGAACAAAGCAGAUCAAAGAGGCAAGGGCUCUCUAGAAUUACUGAGAACCAGAAAAUGGACAGAAUUGUUACAAAGUCACCAGACUCACUGAAGACAGAUGUUUAACAGACCCCAUGAUCUGCGUCCCUGAAGAAGCCAGGAUACACUAGGCAGUCUGUGAAAUAAAUGGCAAAGGUGGUUACAAA